rnacentral:tRNA from 1 species
GUUUUUUUAGUAUAACUUUAGUACAUUUGCCUUCCAAGCAUAGGGUUUAUUUAAUAAAAAAAAUA